CAGGUCUGAAGAUGCCUCCUUACAUUGUACAGCAUACAAGAUGCAGAAGAAAUCCGCUAGAUGCCAUUACAGAUUCAUUUUACUUUGUAAUAUCUUAAAAGUUUGUGUGCAUAAAAUACACAGCUGCAAAUAAGUUGGCCAAACGAGACAUUUCACGAUGCUUUAUGAAAGCUCUCAAUGCAGUAGUUUUAAAAUGCAAAGUGCUUCGUUAUGGAUUGAAAUGAAACAGCAAAUAUUAGGAGUAAAAUUAAGCGAGGUUGCUUUGAAGACCAGUCCAAAGGUUUGGUCUAUUCUAUGCGGAAGAGCAGAUCAGUGCUGAAAAUGAUAGAAGGGCUUUGCAUUUUGCAAUUCAGAAAGCCCAUCCAAAUUCCCAAUACCUUCUCAAAUAAAAGCUCCAUUUAUCUCAACUUGGGAGAAUUCAGCAAUUAAUUUUCUCUCCUUCACUGGAGGUUUUUAAGCAGAGGUUGGGUGGCCAUCUGUCAUGGAUGCUUUGGUUGAGAUUCUCGCCUUGUAGGGGGCUGGAUUAGAUGACUCUCAAGAUGUAAAAUCUGGACAUCAGGACUAGCAGUACGAUGAGAAAAAAUAGCAUGCAGAGAUCAGGGCCAGGCAAAACCCCAGGACCUGUGAAAGGAGCUGACAGAAAUUAUAAACAAUUAAAUGGGUGAAACAGAAGGCACAAACCAAGUGUUUUCUGGGAGACUGAACUCCAAACGCUAUCUGCUAACCAUCUUGCUGGGACCUCUUCCUGCUUCCUUUUACAGGAAAUGACCUGGCAAACAUUGCCCUAUGUCAGGAAGUGUGAAACCUGCAAAUCUCUAGAUGACAUGGGACUCCCAGUGGUCAGCCCUAAUGGGAGUUGUAGUCCAGCUACAUUUCCCACCGCUGCCAAUAUGUGAUGUUCCCCAAAAGCAAUCAGGACAGGAGACAGGAAUGAUUGCUGACAGUUUCUGGAGUGAGAACACCAACAGGAACAUUUGAAAGCUCUUUUGGAAUUGAGAGCAGCUGGACGUGGUGGUUGGCCACAGCACCAUCUUGAGUAUUGAACAGGCCAUAGAAACUGGUUUUGCCUUAAAAACGGCACCGUGUCAAAUGCGCCACCGAGGCUUAAAAGGUUGAGUGGAUUGUGUGAACAAGUGUUGAUUGUACUUUUCUCCUGAUGUAGCAAAUUCUCUUUGAUGGCUUAAGUUGAUUUAGCCAGGAUUAGCAACACUAAUGCUGUGGCACUUUGAUGGCUUAAGUAGCAUGCGACCCUCAUCCCGGGAAUCAGUGACACUAAGUAGCAGGCAAUUCGCGCCAGAACUUUGCAUUUUAUUGACAAAGUGUUUCGCCUCGUCAAUAAAAUGACAGUAAGUCACCCGCAGCUUGUGCAUAGAUAUUCUAUAAACUAUUUAACAUACUGGCAUCAAAAUUAAGAUGCCGAACUGAAUUUUAAAAAUGAAUUACGGCGUUCUCUGAAGGCUGACAUAUUAUGCAUUAAUCACCUAAGGUUUUCUCCUUUCCGUGCAAUUUACAAGUAUGGAAUUUUAUUUUUAUUUAUUUUAAUAAAUAGCAUUAAUUUGGCAUCAGUUCACACUUCGUUGAUAUAUGACUAAGGCUUUAUAUUUCCCCCCCAAAGUGCAACGGAAAGCAACAUUCUGUGAGCAAAGAUUUUAUGUCUCGAGUGCCAGGAUGGAGUGAUAAGAACGGAAAUUGCAACAGUAUAUUCUCACGCUAUAUUUGAUGAAGUAGCUGAAGAAGCAGUGAUUGGCAGAAACUGGGAGUUGACGCCCAAGUAAAGGGGGUUAGGACUGCAGACUAAGGAGGCAAUUCUAUACAUGCCUAUCUGGACAGCAAGACUCCAUGAACGCAAUAGGACUUCUGAGUAGACAUUGAUAGGGGUUGCAUGGUAGCCCAUGGAGAGGAAAUAAAGAGUGGCUAUAUAAUCAGACGCGGGUGGCGCUGUGGGUAAAACCUCAGGGCCUAGGACUUGGUGAUCGCAUGGUCGGCAAUUCGAAUCCCCGUGGCGGGGUGAGCUCCCAUCGUUUGGUCCCAGCUCCUGCCCACCUAGCAGUUCGAAAGCACCCCUAAGCGCAAGUAGAUAAAUAGGUACCGCUUUAUAGCGGGAAGGUAAACGGCGUUUCCAUGUGCUGCGCUGGUGCAGGCUCACCAGAGCAGCUUCGUCACGCUGGCCACGUGACCCGGAAGUGUCUCCGGACAGCACUGGCCCCCGGCCUCUUAAGCGAGAUGGGCGCGCAACCCCACAGUCGGACACGACUGGCCCGAAAAACGGGCAGGGGUACCUUUACCUUUACCUAUAUAAUCAGUACCUGCAGCAAUUCAGCCUGCUCAUCUUAAUGUCUUGUCUGGCCAACUCAGAAUGAAUUGGGUUAAUUCACUCUGCUCAUGGGAUGAUAUGACCCAGGAGCCAUAUCUGGAAUGACAGACAUUUUAGACUGCCAUCUUAAGCAUCUUUCCUUGGAGUGAGUGGAGUGGAGCCAGUGUGGUGUAGUGGUUAAGAGCAGUGGACUCAUAAUCUGGUGAACCAGGUUUGAUUCCCCGCUCCUCCACAUGCAGCUGCUGGGUGAACUUGGGCUAGUCACACUUCUCUGAAGUCUCUCGGCCCCACUCACCUCACAGAGUGUUUGUUGUGGGGGAGGAAGGGAAAAGGAGAUUGUUAGCCGCUUUGAGACUCCUUAGGGUAGUGAUAAAGCGGGAUAUCAAAUCCAAACUCCUCUGCUUCUACUUCUGCUGAGGUUAGGACUGGGGUGAGGUUAGGACUGGGGUGUUUGCGUACUUUUUGAGAAGAGAUUAGCUGUCUUGAGCAUGGAUACAUAAAUGAGCCAUCGUAUGCAUACUAAAAUGUCUUGCUCUAAAAACUCUACUGCUUAUUUUGUGGGGUUGACCCUCAUUCUAGAUCAUAAUAUUUAUUUCCGGGUCAUGUCACCACCCGUUAAGAGAUAAAUAAUGGUUCUCCAGAGAGUCCCUUAUUUUGAAUUUUUUAAAAUGUGAUUACCCAUCACUUGCUCAGCGUCUGCUGAGAUCUCAAGACGCAGAGGAGAGAAAAACACAUAUUGAUUAAAAAGAGUUGCUAAUGAUAAACAUUAUGGAAAUAGCCAAGUAGCUAUUAUGAGAUUUGUGUGUAAAUGAAUUAAGGGGGAAAGGAGAAAGCAGUGACUGAAAUCAUACGUGAUGCUGUUAGCAGCUUGAAGGCUUUCUAAGGAGGAAAAUGCAGUAGCUGGCGUAAUUAUUAGCAGUGAAUGAAGCAAGUUGUUAUUUUUAUGUCAUUGAUUUCUUACAUUCCCUGCACUGGCAGAUUAAUUUAGGCACCGCUGAGACAAUCUUUGACACACCAACACUUUGCAAAAGUAUGCUGAAGGUCUCAUCAAACAACUGUAUAUCCAAAAUUCUCCUUAAAGCAAAAGAGGUCAUAAUUAUCCAUUGAUGUUUAACACACACACACACACACACACUUUUUGUCGGGGAGGUGAAGGCAGAAGUUUGAGGGCAUAUAUGGGAAAGAUAAUAGAAAAUAAAUUGUAAGAAAAGAUCUCAUGAAAGGCAGACUGAGCAUCGAUGCUGCAAGUCAGGUUGCCAACUUUUUUAUUGACUCUUGCUCUUGUUUCUUUAAGACUAGCCUGAUUUGCACAGACAUUAGGUGACAAUGUUCAUCUGUAUGCCAUGAUAAUCUUCACCUACCAAUUUCUCAAAGUCAAGCUGCUGUUUCACAGGUCCAGAUCAAUUUCCCCUCCUGGCCAUUUGGUAAUCCUAGCAUUGGCCAGGAAAACAGAACUGCCAUGGAAUUUCAAAUGGAAUUGGAAUUUGGUGAGGUUUUAAAUCUUGUGCACUUCAGAGAGGUUUCAGAAAUAUGUCUUCUAACUUCCCAGAUAUAUUGGAGGCCAAAAAACGGGGGAGGGGGGCAGUGUCAUAUAUAGCAAGAGAACCCUUUCACCUCCCUGGGCACUUGGUCUUUCCUACAAGACUGCACUAUUUAUGUAAAUACAUCCGGAUACACUUUCUAUUAUAAGCUUUUAGUUUUCUAAAAUCUUUUAGUUUAGUGUUUAUUAAAAAUGUAUAGGAUUAUUAGGCAUUCAGGUACAAACAAUUAAAGGGGGAGGGAAACCACACAGCAAACAUGAAGCUAUUUUGAUUCCAACAAAACUUUGAGAAAGAGAGAAAACUUCUUCAAAACACUGUAUAUUCUGUGAUUUGAAUUACCAUGGGAUUUGCUUUUUUCUGCUUUCAUGGCCUUAUAAUAGCUGCAACGUGCAUCUCAACCACAUUCUGCGGGGGCUACAAGAAUUGGGCAAAUACCUAUUGUGAUCUGCUCAUUUAAAACCCUUCAAAAUAAAUGGCCUUUUCCGUACGGAUUUCUUUUAAUUGAAACCAGUAGGCCUAAGGAUAAAAUAGGGCAGAUGCUGUUCCUUCUAUGUGACCAUUUUUGUUUGCACUUCUUUCCUUUUUUUUUAAGGGGGAUGGGGAGGAGAUGGAAACCAGAAUGGGAACCCUGGCUAGUUAGCACAGGGGAACAAUUGGUUUUAGCUGUAUCCCAGGCAGGGAGACAUCCUGCUGCCCUCAUGGUGUAGACAAAGGAUUACCACUGGGAUCUAUUGGCCUCAAUCUCUGAUGGCAUGAAAUGACAAUAGAUUGCAGUGCCCCUGAGCAUGUGCAGAAUGCAUUUCCUGCUACCGUUGCUGUGCAUCUGUGGAGAAGAGGAAGGGGAUGUUUUCUAGACAGAUUGGACCCCUGACACGCACCUCUAGAUCUUUCAAUUCAAUGGAGAAUGGGCUGAUCAGCUUCAUUUCAACCCAUAUGCUGGUCAUCCUCCAGCCACUGAAGCUGUUUUAAGACCCAUCCAGCCUCAAUGGCUGCAGCACAUGGGCACUGCAGCAAAAUAAGAUAAAAAUGGAGGAUGCUCACCUCUCAAAGCAGAAUUGCAAACAUUUUAUCAGUCUAGCCUUGGCCACCGCUUUGGAUCGUAAGUCAACACAGGUUCCUUUCCGCUGAUUAAAUCAAAAGGGAUCAGACAGCAAGUUGGAAUAAUGAGCGGUGCAAUCCUGUGCACAGAUACCCCUGAGUAAGCUCCUCUGGAGAUGGUGAGACUUGCUUCCGACACACAGAGGAUUGUGCCCCAAGAUUUCCUUAUGCUUCUGGUGUGAUUCUCUUUAUUUCACCUUUUCCCCAUGAUGUGGAUUUCCCUUUCCCAGACCUACUUGCCUGUUAUAUUUCUCGUUCAAUGUAAUGUUUCCCCCGCUUCAUUUGUUUGAGCAGUAAUUUCUCACACAUACACAACAAGAAGUGAAUUUACCUUUUUUGAAAAUCAAUUUUUGUAACAAGUUAUUUAUAUGAUACUACUAAAUAAACUGUUUUUUUUUUC